GAGUUUGAUCCUGGCCAGGAUGAACGCUGGCGGCGUGCUUAACACAUGCAAGUCGAACGGUGAAGGAGAGCUUGCUCUUUGGAUCAGUGGCGAACGGGUGAGUAACACGUGAGCAACCUGCCCCGGACUCUGGGAUAAGCGCUGGAAACGGCGUCUAAUACUGGAUAUGAGACACCACCGCAUGGUGAGUGUUUGGAAAGAUUUUUCGGUCUGGGAUGGGCUCGCGGCCUAUCAGCUUGUUGGUGAGGUAAUGGCUCACCAAGGCGUCGACGGGUAGCCGGCCUGAGAGGGUGACCGGCCACACUGGGACUGAGACCCGCCCCAGACUCCUACGGGAGGCAGCAGUGGGGAAUAUUGCACAAUGGGCGCAAGCCUGAUGCAGCAACGCCGCGUGAGGGACGACGCCCUUCGGGUUGUAAACCUCUUUUACCAGGGAGGAAGCGAAAGUGACGGUACCUGCAGAAAAAGCGCCGGCGAACUACGUGCCAGCAGCGCGGUAAAAGGGCGAAU
rnacentral:rRNA from 1 species